UACAGAGGUCUCAAGCGUUGUUCGGAUUCAUUGGGCGUAAAGGGUGUGUAGGUGGCGCGCUAAGUCGGGUGUGAAAUUUCGGAGCUUAACUCCGAAACUGCAUUCGAUACUGGCGUGCUUGAGGACUGGAGAGGAGACUGGAAUUUACGGUGUAGCGGUGAAAUGCGUAGAUAUCGAUAAGGAAGACCAGUGGCGAAGGCGGGUCUCUGGACAGUUCCUGACGCUGAGGCACGAAGGCCAGGGGAGCAAACGGG
rnacentral:rRNA from 1 species